GUGGCAUUCCAUAAUUUGCAUAUGAUGAUUUCAUAAAGAGAUUGAAACCAGAAGUUAUUGUUAUUUUUUUUAUAUUUCCAGAACAAGUAAAAGUAAUAGGUUACUUCUAGUUCUACCGAUGACCCAGUAGAUUCCAAUAUAUAUCCCAGUAUAUCCGAUGAUGGCUAAUAGCUGCAUUAUCCAUCACAAGGAAAUACAAGUUCAUAAUUCAGAGGGUGGAUGCAUUCAUUCGUCAUUCAUUCAGUCAAUACGUGUCCAGCACCUACUUGACUCUAGGCCUGAUUCUGGGCUACAGAGAGACAGCAGAGAGCAAAAUAAGGCCCCUGUUCUCAGACAGUUAACAUGCUGGGGGAAGACUUCUUCAACCCAGUUGAAUAGGUGAGCUAAUUGAAAGAGGGAUUCUACAAAGAGCCUCCAGGGUGUCUUGUUAAAUACCUGGAAUGUGUUUAACUAAGAUAAAGGAACUUGUUAUGGAAGAGACUGUAAGCCAAAAAUGUAAGCACACUUCAGAAGGUAUCAGACAAAAUAAUAUGUGAUGCAGUCGUAAGUGUCAAUGUAUGAAGCAUGUAUGUAUUCAGGUUACAAAGAAAGUAGGAGGCACUCCUUAAUUUUUCAGAAUUGUACUUUAGAGAGCGCAUUUAUCUUUAUUUUUCAUUGGGUUCCUUGUUUUGAAGUAUAGUUGACAAUAUUACUUUAGUCACAGGUGUACCACGUAGUGAUUGAACAAGUCUGUAUGUCAUGCUGUGUUCACCCCAAGUGUAGCUACCAUCUGGCACCAUCCAGCGCUAUGAUAAUGCCGCUGACUAGAGUCCCUAUGCCGUACCUUUCAUCUUCAUGUAAAGGGUAUUUGUCUUUAAACAACCUUAUCUUAAAAUGAUUUGAAACAGGCUAUUGACUCCCACUUUUAAGUGGAGCGUUUUUCAAGUAUUAUAGAAGGAAACAAAAGAAAAACAGUGACUAAGAGUGUAUGAACUCAUAAGAAACACCUUAAGUCUUUUUCAAGAGCAGUUAGUAGCAAAAUGACAAAACCAUGCAUGUAUAAAACCUGUAGAAGGGCACCUGAAUGGCUCAGUCGGUUGAGCAUGUGACUCUUGGUUUCAGCUCAGGUCAUGAUCUCAGGGUCGUGAGAUCAAGCCCCAUGUUGGGCUCCAUGCUCACCAGGGAGUCUGCUUGAGGACUUCCUCUUUCUCCCUCUACUUCUCCCUUCCCUCUAAAAUAAGUCUUUCUUUCUUUCUUUUUUUUUUUUUUUAUAAAUUUUUAAUUUUUAUUUAUUUAUGAUAGUCACAGAGAGAGAGAGAGAGGCAGAGACACAGGCGGAGGGAGAAGCAGGCUCCAUGCACCGGGAGCCCGACGUGGGAUUCGAUCCCGGGUCUCCAGGAUCG
rnacentral:lncRNA from 1 species